AGAGUUUGAUCAUGGCUCAGGACGAACGCUGGCGGCGUGGAUAAGGCAUGCAAGUCGAACGCGAACGGAAUGACUAACUCGUUAGAAGUUCCUAGUAGAGUGGCGAACGGGUGAGUAACGCGUGGAUAACGUGCCUCUCAGUGGGGAAUAACACAGGGAAACUUGUGCUAAUACCGCAUACGUCCUUCCGGCCAAGUCGGAAUGAUGAAAGGUGGGGACCUUCGGGCCUGCCGCUGAGAGAUCGGUCCGCGUCCCAUUAGCUUGUUGGUGGGGUAACGGCCUACCAAGGCAGUGAUGGGUAGCCGGCCUGAGAGGGUGACCGGCCACACUGGGAUUGAGAUACGGCCCAGACUCCUUCGGGAGGCAGCAGUCGAGAAUCUUCCACAAUGGACGAAAGUCUGAUGGAGCGACGCCGCGUGAGUGAUGAAGGCCCUACGGGUUGUAAAACUCUGUCAGGAGAGAAGAAUCGCCGGGGUGCCAAUACCAUCCUGGUCUGACGUUAUCUCCAGAGGAAGCUCCGGCUAACUCCGUGCCAGCAGCCGCGGUAAUACGGGGGGAGCAAGCGUUGUCCGGAAUUAUUGGGCGUAAAGGGCGUGUAGGCGGCCUGGUCAGUCGAAUGUGAAAUCCCACGGCUCAACCGUGGAAUUGCGUUCGAUACUGCCUGGCUUGAGUAUGUGAGAGGUGUGCGGAAUUCCUGGUGUAGCGGUGGAAUGCGUAGAUAUCAGGAAGAACACCGAUGGCGAAGGCAGCACACUGGCGCAAUACUGACGCUGAGGCGCGAAAGCGUGGGGAGCAAACAGGAUUAGAUACCCUGGUAGUCCACGCUGUAACGAUGGUACUGGGUUUCGGGGGUCUCAACCCUCUCGGAGCCGUAGCUAACGCGUUGAGUACCCCGCCUGGGGAGUACGGUCGCAAGGCUGAAACUCAAUGAAUUGACGG
rnacentral:rRNA from 1 species